CAGCCGCCACGGUAAUACAGAGGAUGCAAGCGUUAUCCGGAAUGAUUGGGCGUAAGGCGUGCGCAGGCGGUUGUGUAAGACAGGUGUGAAAUCCCCGGGCUUAACCUGGGAACUGCGCUUGUGACUGCACAGCUAGAGUAUGGCAGAGGGGGGUGGAAUUCCACGUGUAGCAGUGAAAUGCGCAGAGAUGUGGAGGAACACCAGUGGCGAAGGCGACUCUCUGGUCUGUAACUGACGCUGAGGAGCGAAAGCGUGGGGAGCGAACAGGAUUAGAUACCCCUGUAGUCCCUGUCUCUUAUAC
rnacentral:rRNA from 1 species